rnacentral:rRNA from 1 species
CCUACGGGGGGCAGCAGUAGGGAAUAUUGCUCAAUGGGGGAAACCCUGAAGCAGCAAAGCCGCGUGAAGGAUGAAGGUUUUCGGGUUGUUAACUCCUUUUUUUAGAGAAGAUAAUGACGGUAUCUAACGAAUAAGCACCGGCGAACUCCGGGCCAGCAGCCGCGGUACUACGGAGGGUGCAAGCGUUACUCGGAAGCACUGGGCGUAAAGAGCGCGUAGGCGGGAUAGCAAGUCAGAUGUGAAAUCCUAUGGCUUAACCAUAGAACUGCAUUUGACACUGUUAUUCUAGAGUAUGGGAGAGGUAGGUGGAAUGCUUGGUGUAGGGGUGAAAUCCGUAGAGAUCAAGAAGAAUACUGAUUGCGAAGGCGACCUGCUAGAACAUAACUGACGCUGAGGCGCGAAAGCGUGGGGAGCAAACAGGAGUAGAUACCCUUGUAGUC